rnacentral:rRNA from 1 species
UACAGAGGGUGCGAGCGUUGUCCGGAAUCACUGGGCGUAAAGGGCGCGUAGGUGGUGGCUUAAGCGUGCGGUGAAAGCUCGGGGCUCAACCCCGAGUCGGCCGUGCGAACUGGGCUCACUGGAGCAUAGUAGAGGCAGGUGGAAUUCCGGGUGUAGCGGUGGAAUGCGCAGAUAUCAGGAGGAACACCGGUGGCGAAGGCGGGGUCUCUGGGCCGUUACUGACGCUGAGGAGCGAAAGCGUGGGGGAGCGAACAGG